GGUGCCGUAGCCUAGUGGUUAAGGCGAUAGACUAUAAAUCUUUUGAGAUAUUCUCGCGCAGGUUCUAAUCCUGCCGACGACG
rnacentral:tRNA from 1 species